CCUACGGGAGGCAGCAGUGAGGAAUAUUGGUCAAUGGACGAGAGUCUGAACCAGCCAAGUAGCGUGAAGGAUGACUGCCCUAUGGGUUGUAAACUUCUUUUAUAUGGGAAUAACAUGUUCCACGUGUGGGAUUUUGUAUGUACCAUAUGAAUAAGGAUCGGCUAACUCCGUGCCAGCAGCCGCGGUAAUACGGAGGAUCCGAGCGUUAUCCGGAUUUAUUGGGUUUAAAGGGAGCGUAGGGGGAUUGUUAAGUCAGUUGUGAAAGUUUGCGGCUCAACCGGAGAAUUGCAGUUGAAACUGGCAGUCUUGAGUACAGUAGAGGUAGGCGGAAUUCGUGGUGUAGCGGUGAAAUGCUUAGAUAUCACGAAGAACCCCGAUUGCGAAGGCAGUUCACUGGACUGCAACUGACACUGAGGCUCGAAAGUGUGGGUAUCAAACAGGAUUAGAUACCCCUGUAGUC
rnacentral:rRNA from 1 species